CCCUAUAGCCUGGUGGCCUCCAACACCCUGCUGGUGGCCUGACCGUCCUGGCCUCCUGGCCAGCCGUCCACCACCACCUUCACCCGGCAGCCGCUGCAGCGGAACAAUGGGAGGAUCACAGGCUACGUGAUAUUCCUCACCACGGACCAAACUGUCAGUGACUGGGUGACGGGGGAAGUGACGGGGGACUGGCUCACCCUCACCGUCCAUGGACUGACGCCUUCAAGGAAGUAUUUGCACAAGAUGCACUCUCACAAUGUCAAAGGUUUUGGUCCAUUCUCCUCCGUGGAAAGCUUCACGACUCUUCCAGCUGUUGACAAGAGCAUCGGUGAGCCCCCUGGCUGGUGUGUGGAGCGAGAGGCCUGAUUGUGCUGGUGAUCGCUGGCGUGGCAGGAGCCAUGACCAGCUGGGGGCCUUCUUGGCCACCACACUGUACUGCCGCGGGUCAAGGCGGAGCCCAGGCCAAGCAUUGUUGUUGGCGGCAGCUGCAGUGAGAGCAACAAGCCUGGCGUCCAGCCUCCAGACCUGUGGAUCCAUCACGGCCACUUGGAGCUGAAGAACUUUGACAAGGGUGAGCGCAGCAACUCCCCCAACCACGCCUCCAUCAUCCAGCACACAGGAGUCGCGUCACAUCACAAUGGGACCAAAAAAGGACGAGAAGGGACAAGACAAGAAGAAAAGGUCUUCUGCUGCCGCUGCUGCCUCUCCUGAUGAUGAUGAGCAACAAGAAGACACUCAAGAACAACCUGCCAAGAAAGUGGAGGGACGAUCCAAGAAGAGGUCAUCGUCUGCUACUGGGGAGACACCCCCUCCUCCAGCCCUCUUGCGUCACCAAUCCACUUGGACACAGAGCCCCAACCUGGUCAUGAUGAUGCUGGGGUGUGUCUUUUGCUCAAAAUCGGGAGCAAAUUCUUGGAGGAGAUUUGAAACUCGUAGUAGAUCCGGAGUUAUCGGUGUAGUUCGUCGUACAUUGUAGUACUUCGUACUUACAAAUCGGGACAGUUGGUGUGGUUCGUGAUACUUCGUAGUACUUCUGCUCCAAAACUCGCCGUACUUCGGGAGAAAAUCAGGGUGAAAUCAUAGUACAUCGUAGCAUAUUGUAGUACGUCGUAGCACUUUGGGAAAUAAUUCGGUGUACUUCGGGGAAUAUGCCCUCGAGGUCGACCGAACGCCUCGAGAUGAAAAGAUAAACAAAUUUUCGUAGUGAUUCGGGGAAAACGCUGUCUCCCGAGGUACUACGAUUUUUUUGUGAUUCGGCGUCUGUGAGACCGGGGGGGGCGCGGCAGGUCCCUGGUACCCCCGCCUGGUUCAUGGCCGCCUCGCACAAGACCAAGGUUGUCGCAAAGAACAUAUCCAGAAUUGCACUCAUUUCCGAGGAGGCGACGAAAUACACGGCACAACAGGUCAGAAGGUCAAGGAACGCCCCAUUGCCAGCACCUUCUACGCACCCUUCGACCUUUACGAGCGAGGCAAGUUCGACGAGGUCCUUGAGGGGAUGGUCAGCUCCCACGCCCAGAACGAGGACAUGGCCAUUUCCGAAGCCAUGACCAGCAAGAUGUUCGAGGACGCUAAGACUGGUGUUGGCCUGGACCUGGCGGCACAGAUCCUGCAG